GCUCGUGUCGUGAGGAUGUUGGGUUAAGUCCCGCAACGAGCGCAACCCUACGUUUAGUUGCUAACGCGUGAAGGCGAGCACUCUAGACGAACUGCCGUUGACAAAACGGAGGAAGGUGGGGAUGACGUCAAAUCAUCAUGCCCCUUAUGUUCUGGGCUACACACGUGCUACAAUGGCCGGUACAGACGGACGCAAAGCCGCGAGGUGGAGCAAAUCCCAGAAAGCCGGUCUCAGUUCGGAUUGCAGGCUGCAAUUCGCCUGCAUGAAGUCGGAAUCGCUAGUAAUCGCAGGUCAGCAUACUGCGGUGAAUACGUUCCCGGGCCUU
rnacentral:rRNA from 1 species